AUUGAACGCUGGCGGCAGGCCUAACACAUGCAAGUCGAGCGGAGCGGCGGACGGGUGAGUAAUGCCUCGGAAUCUGCCUGGUAGUGGGGGAUAACGUCCGGAAACGGUCGCUAAUACCGCAUCCUAUCAGAUAAGCCUAGGUCGGAUUAGCUAGUUGGUGGGGUAAAGGCCUACAAAGGCGACGAUCCGUAACUGGUCUGCGAGGAGGAUCAGUCACACUGGGACUGAGACCAGGUCCAGACUCCGACGGGAGGCAGCAGUGGGGAAUAUUGGACAAUGGGCGAAAGCCUGAUCCAGCCAUGCCGCGUGAGUGAAGAAGGUCUUCGGAUUGUAAAGCACUUUAAGUUGGGAGGCGUUACCAACAGAAUAAGCACCGGCUAACUUCGUGCCAGCCGCCGCGGUAAUAC
rnacentral:rRNA from 1 species